CAGAGUAAAAUUGAACAAGAAAACUUCCAGUGUUGGUGAAAAUAAUCGGAGUUGACAGUGGUUUUACUCUGUCAGUGUCAUUGACUCUCUCAGAGUUAAAUCAACACCGAUUAGAGCAAGACGCCUUCCAGUGUUAAAAAAAAAAUACGGUGAAAAGCCCCUCCCAUCAACUUCCCCGGUCAAACCGUUGGAGAACGUGGACUCUGGCACCGGCAUCUUCCUCGCAUCGAAAUACCGUGAUACCAUCAUGUUGAUCAAAACCAGAAUCUACAAUACACAGAAAUAUGUCAAGAUAAAAGAGCCAAGCCUUGAGGAAUUCUUAACUUCUGCUUUCUUGAAGUUCUCAGUUCCGCCAGUCGAUGAAGGUGUCAAGGUUUUUGAUGAAACAGGAAACUGAGGUGGAUGCAGAGGUCUUCGCUGACAUAGCGCAGCUUCCCAACACUGGCAUACUAACCAUCACGUUUGAUGACGAUUUGAAGGAAACUUUGUCCAGCAGUUCCCAAGAUGCAAAUUCCAGUGCACUGUCUGCUAACCCAUUGGCGCCGGAUGCUGCGUAGCGCAGCAUAGCCCCUCCUGCCGGUUGCUGCGUAGCGCAACAUAGGCUUUCCUGCCGGUUGCUGCGUAGCGCAGCAUUUUGUACACGUGCUGUUUUCAUGACGAAUGCAACAUAUAACUCACUCUGGUUGGUUAAAAAUACACAUGGGGUGGGUCUUAAGGCUUUGGUAAAGAUCAGGAGACCACCAGAACGAACUUUGGUUGGCUGAAAAUCACGUCAAUCAAUCAUAUAGCCACGCGAUAUUCUAUGUUUGUUUUUAGCGACGCGUCUAGCUGGCGACCGAGAAGUAGCAAUGAACAUGGAGGAUUUUGAUAGCGAUGGCAGUGAUAUUGUCAUAGAAUUCAAGGGAUUUGAGUAUGAGAAUGAGGACGAGAAUGAUUUUGUGCCGGUUGAUCCACUGGAUCGGGCACAGAAGUGGGAAUUUUUGGACACCGAAGGAGAGGAGGAGGAUGUCUUUCGGGGAUUCCAGGUGGACUGGAGAACCGGGCAAUUACCAGCCUUGGAAAACAAAGACAUUCUCUCGCACACCGGGGGUGAAACAACCGAUCCCCUUGGAUGCUAGCCCACUCGAUGUGUUUUCCAGGAUCUUUACCGAUCAGCUGUGGGACACGUUAUUGACCGAAACGAAUCGGUACGCGCAACAGGUACGAGCUCAUACCCCCACGACCAGUGGCGGCGCCAGAGAUUUUUUUCUGGUGGUGCUAUGGGGGUGCUCGGCGUUUUACUGAGGGUGCUAUGAAAUUAGGGUGAUAGCAUAUGAGUCUCAUUUUUCUCUACUACAACACCUCCCCACCAUAUCGUCACAUAUGUUUACACGUUUGCUCUCUAACGGGUCUUUGGGGUACAAAAAAAGCGCCAUUCAAAUCGAUCGUAUUAUUAUUGUCAUUAGGCUACUUCUGACGGACGCGCACAAAGCCGCGUUCAUCUCCGACGGUUAAAAUG